UUCCUGGCUAAGGGAACUCCAGGUCUGAUUGCACCUUACAAAAUGCCCUUUUCUGCCCUCCUGGCAGUUUCUCUGCUGAUUUCUUCAAGUGGGACCAACACUGGGGAGGAAAUCAAUGAAACCAUCUUCUGUACCAAGGACCUAAUUGAAGUGGAAAUCCCAAGUACUUUCUUUCUGUCAAAGAACCCUCCAAUAUUAAUCUCUGAUUUGCACCUUAACGAUCCAGAAUGCCAUGGCACUGAAGUAGGAAACCUGUACGUGUUCAGCAUUAAG